rnacentral:other from 19 species
CUUCCAUACUAUCUAGUAAUUCUUAAAC